CUUCAAGAUAUACCUUUCCUGUUCUAAAUAUAAUAAUGAAAUUUACUUAAGUGAGUUUGUGUCCAUGUGUAGGGGAGAUAAUCAACACUAAUUAUCUCCCCUGUCCCAAGUACUAUUGUAUAGACAAAAAGCAAAAUAGUAAAUUCUAAUAAUAUUAAAAAAAUCAUACAAGUGAUAAAAUAAUGAAUUAUUUUACGGAUAGCAGUAUUACAUUCUAUCUGAGCACACACA
rnacentral:lncRNA from 1 species